rnacentral:rRNA from 1 species
UACGGGAGGCAGCAGUGGGGAAUAUUGCACAAUGGGCGAAAGCCUGAUGCAGCUAUGCCGCGUGUAUGAAGAAGGCCUUAGGGUUGUAAAGUACUUUCAUCGGGGAGGAAAAAACAAAACUAAUAAUUUUAUUUCUUGACGUUACCCGAAAAAGAAGCACCGGCUAACUCCGUGCCAGCAGCCGCGGUAAUACGGAGGGUGCUAGCGUUAAUCAGAAUUACUGGGCGUAAAGAGCACGUAGGUUGGUUUUUUAAGUCAGAUGUGAAAUCCCUGGGCUUAACCUAGGAACUGCAUUUUGAAACUGAAAUACUAGAGUAUCGUAGAGGGAGGUAGAAUUCUAGGUGUAGCGGUGAAAUGCGUAGAUAUCUGGAGGAAUACCUGUGGCGAAAGCGGCCUCCUAAACGAAUACUGACACUGAGGUGCGAAAGCGUGGGGAGCAAACAGGGAUUAGAUACC